UACCAGCACCCCGAGUGGUCGGGACGAUUAUUGGGCCUAAAGCAUCCGUAGCCGGUUCUACAAGUCUUCCGUUAAAUCCACCUGCUUAACAGAUGGGCUGCGGAGGAUACUAUAGAGCUAGGAGGCGGAAGAGGCAAGCGGUACUCAGUGGGUAGGGGUAAAAUCCUCUGAUCCAUUGAAGACCACCAGUGGCGAAGGCGGCUUGCCAAUACGCGCUCGACGGUGAGGGAUGAAAGCUGGGGGAGCAAACCGG
rnacentral:rRNA from 1 species